UUUCUUAUUAUCUGUUCUUAUCAUGUUCUUAACAUCUCAUCAUUUUACUUUGUCUGGAACUGAAAUUAAUGACGAAUCUAAAUUCUGAAAGUAAACGAUUUUUUUAAUCAUGUCUAGUUGAGUCUGGAACUGAAAUUAAUGAUGAUUCUAAAUUCUGAAAAUAAACGAUUUUUUUUUAUUUUUUUUAUUUUUAUAUAUAAAAUCAUUCUAGUUGUCAGUUCACCCAUGCUCCAAGUAUCAUCUCCAAACAUCGAUUUAAUUAAAAGGAAAACAUGGUCCAGGUGAUUAUCAAUUGGGCCAGUUGAACUUGGAAUUUGAAAGUGGGAUUCAUUUGUUGAGGCUUUGAACAUUGAUUAAUCAGCAAGCUCAUUGGGUGACGUGUUUUACUUGGGUUGUCCUAGGUGCAGAUGACAUCAAGUGGUCUACUCAAAUCUAUACUGUUAAAAUCUUGCAGUUCGUACAUACACAGCACAGUCCUUUCUUUCAGAGAUAUAGUUGGGUGGACAUUCAAAACUGCUGUUUUUGUUUCAAACUGAGGAGAUUGGUAUAGGGAUUAAACUUAGGUCCCUAAGUUUAAAUGUUCUUGGGAAAAAUGGCUCUGCUCAAAUCGAAUGUGAGAUAAGAAGAAGAAACUUGGGUGGGAACCCAUCUAAAAUGGUUCUCAUUUCCUGGAGAACCUUUCUUUCCUCAUGAAAUCCAUUAUGUUGAAGAGUGGAAGCUUGAAGAAGAAGAACAAGAAGAAACUUGGAUCCCACCCAUCUAAUACGGUUCUCAUAUCCUGCAAAACCUUUCUUUCCUCAUGGAAUCCAUUAUGCCGAAAAGCAUAAUCUUGAAGAAGAAGAAGAAGAAACUUGGGUGGGAAUAAUGUAGGGGCAUUUUCACACCGGGCUUGAGUGGGGUAGCCCGUGGGAUGCGGGGACACACUUGGGGUGGGCAGCCCGUGUGAGGUGGGUGGCUCGUGAGAGAUGGGCCCCACCCGUGUGAGGUGGGUGGCUCGUGUGAGGUGAUACCCAUGUGAUUUGGGGCCCACGAGGGGGGUUCGGCCGAGGUCCUAACCCAUGAGAUGUGGAGCCUGGGCUAUGAGAUAAAGGGAUUGAUUCGCCAUGUUCUAACAGUUCGAGCUUUUAGAGCAAGUGGUUAAUUCAAGGAACCCAUCUAAUAUGGUUCUCAUGGAAUCCAUUAUGCCAAAAAGCAGAAACUUACAAUCUGGCGGCGAAGUAGAAGAGGAACCUUUCUCAUGGAAUCCAUUAUGAGCAGAAUCCAAAUAGGCCCUCAGUCACCAAAAGCAUUAAGAGAUUGGAAGCAACAAAUCAGCAAAUAAGCUAUUUCAAAGCAGUGCUGACACUCUAGCAAAAAAAUUUCUGCUUGUAUUAACAUGCAUUGAGAUUGCUACUUCUUCAACUUGAUUAGUUAAGGUGAAAAAUCGGAAACUUGGGAUCCCAUCUAAGAUGGUUUUCAUUUUCUGAAGAACCUUUCUUUCCUCACGGAAUCCAUUGUGCCGGGAAAAAAAAUGAACCAAUCGUGGUCUGCGGGGACAUCCAAACAAUGAUGCACGGACAUGUGAUGGCCUAACCCUAGAUGCAUGUAUGAUCAAAAUGAAGAGAUUCAAAUAAAUAAAUUAAUCAACUAACUGUUUUCAUUCAAAGGAAUUAGGCAAAUCUCAACACAUAGAUGAGAUCAUUCCGUCAGGAUCAUGCCCCUUAGCAUAAAAUCACGUAAACAUUAAAAAUGGAGGACCUAGGGAUAUGAUGAUAUCCCAGAUCUAGCAUAAGUCAACCCACAGUCAAGUUUGGAUCUGAUUCUCCUGACUAACAAUCCCUCUUUUCCGUUCAAACUAAAAGGGUAUAUCCAGAGAGGAACGAAAGGGAUGAAGAAGAGAGGUGGGUUCGAGAUGAGAGGGAGUACGAAUUCUAGGUCAUCAAAGAAAAAGACGAUUGAUACUUACCUUUUCCUGCACCUCGAAGAUCUAGAAAGAAGGAAACUUGAAACCGGGGCAGAAUCCUCAAAACACCCAAGGGUCAAUCCUGAAACCCUAAUCUCAUGAUAAAAGAGGUAGAAAACAUGCGAAUUUCUAUUCAUUCAAUAAUACUAAAAUAGGGUUUCUCACAAUGUAUAUAUAAGCCACGGAAAAAGUAAAAGUGCACUAAAGCCCCUGAAAACAAGGAACAUAACAAAAAAGACGAAAAAAGUAAAAACUACACUAAAACCUCUGGAAAAAAAAAGAA